rnacentral:rRNA from 1 species
AUGAACGCUGGCGGCGUGCUUAACACAUGCAAGUCGAACGAUGAAGCCCACUUGUGGGUGGAUUAGUGGCGAACGGGUGAGUAACACGUGAGUAACCUGCCCUUGACUCUGGGAUAAGCCUGGGAAACUGGGUCUAAUACCGGAUAUGACCUUCCAUCGCAUGGUGGUUGGUGGAAAGCUUUUGUGGUUUUGGAUGGACUCGCGGCCUAUCAGCUUGUUGGUGGGGUAAUGGCCUACCAAGGCGACGACGGGUAGCCGGCCUGAGAGGGUGACCGGCCACACUGGGACUGAGACACGGCCCAGACUCCUACGGGAGGCAGCAGUGGGGAAUAUUGCACAAUGGGCGCAAGCCUGAUGCAGCGACGCCGCGUGAGGGAUGACGGCCUUCGGGUUGUAAACCUCUUUCAGUAGGGAAGAAGCGAGAGUGACGGUACCUGCAGAAGAAGCGCCGGCUAACUACGUGCCAGCAGCCGCGGUAAUACGUAGGGCGCAAGCGUUAUCCGGAAUUAUUGGGCGUAAAGAGCUCGUAGGCGGUUUGUCGCGUCUGCCGUGAAAGUCCGGGGCUCAACUCCGGAUCUGCGGUGGGUACGGGCAGACUAGAGUGAUGUAGGGGAGACUGGAAUUCCUGGUGUAGCGGUGAAAUGCGCAGAUAUCAGGAGGAACACCGAUGGCGAAGGCAGGUCUCUGGGCAUUAACUGACGCUGAGGAGCGAAAGCAUGGGGAGCGAACAGGAUUAGAUACCCUGGUAGUCCAUGCCGUAAACGUUGGGCACUAGGUGUGGGGGACAUUCCACGUUUUCCGCGCCGUAGCUAACGCAUUAAGUGCCCCGCCUGGGGAGUACGGCCGCAAGGCUAAAACUCAAAGGAAUUGACGGGGGCCCGCACAAGCGGCGGAGCAUGCGGAUUAAUUCGAUGCAACGCGAAGAACCUUACCAAGGCUUGACAUGAACCGGACCGGGCUGGAAACAGUCUUUCCCCUUGUGGGCUGGUUUACAGGUGGUGCAUGGUUGUCGUCAGCUCGUGUCGUGAGAUGUUGGGUUAAGUCCCGCAACGAGCGCAACCCUCGUUCUAUGUUGCCAGCACGUGAUGGUGGGGACUCAUAGGAGACUGCCGGGGUCAACUCGGAGGAAGGUGGGGACGACGUCAAAUCAUCAUGCCCCUUAUGUCUUGGGCUUCACGCAUGCUACAAUGGCCGGUACAAAGGGUUGCGAUACUGUGAGGUGGAGCUAAUCCCAAAAAGCCGGUCUCAGUUCGGAUUGGGGUCUGCAACU